rnacentral:rRNA from 1 species
UACGUAGGGAGCGAGCGUUGUCCGGAUUUACUGGGUGUAAAGGGUGCGUAGGCGGGUCGGCAAGUCAGAUGUGAAAUACCGGGGCUUAACUCCGGGGCUGCAUUUGAAACUGUUGAUCUUGAGUGAAGUAGAGGCAGGCGGAAUUCCUAGUGUAGCGGUGAAAUGCGUAGAUAUUAGGAGGAACACCAGUGGCGAAGGCGGCCUGCUGGGCUUUAACUGACGCUGAGGCACGAAAGCAUGGGGAGCAAACAGG